GCUCUGCUACCGCUUUGGGAGCAAGCUGGCCCCAAGGAACUUGUUAACAUCCAUGUGCCUUUUUCCCUUUCUGAUCUAUCUCAGAUUACCCUUAAAUUAGGUAGCCUCUCUGUUGACCCACAGAAUUAUAUCAGGCAAUUUAAAUUUAUUAUUAAUUGUUAUGAUUUACAUCUUAAGGACGUUUAUAAUGACUCUAGGCCUAUAGCUGUGCCAGAGCAGGACAAGCAUACUAACUAUAACAAACUUUUAAAACAGGUCCAGGAAGCUAAUCAAAACCGAGCUGUGUUCCUAAAUUGGCUUUCUAAUCCUCAAGCCCUGCAAGCAGUUCCAGCUUCUCGCGCUGUGUCAGGCCGCCUCCCAGCCCCUCCCCCAUGCGCCGUCCCAGCCCCUCCCUCCCCCAUGCCGCCGCUGCCACCUUACACGUUUCCGGGGGCAAUCCGAGCCCGCCCCUGCGCGCUAUAUCCCAGUGCUUGCCCCACCCACUGGGCGUGCUCUGCUGGAGCGCAGAGAAACAGCAGCUCAGUGGCUCUGCUCAGGCAUGCUUUUUUUUACAAUUUGGCUCCGCUCAAAAGAUGCUUUUUUAUUACAAUUCUCAAACCAUUUAAUCAAAGUUACUGGCCACCUGAUAAUUUUACCAGCCUUGUUUAUCAAUCAAAGCCUUCAUCAAUCUUCUGUUUAACAACUAAGGUUAUAAAUUCCUUUUUGCUGGGAACCACUAGCUCUAUUUCAAGACAAGGGUUUUCUUCAAAGUUUUAUUUUAUUUGUCUUGGUUCAUACUACUGCAAAUAACAACUUUAAAAGUAAAUGUGUUCAGAAUUUGACAGUAUUAGAUCAGUUUUGAUUGAUUUAUUCAUAAGAUUGCUAAACCUUUACUGCAAAAUGUUUCCAUUAAAGCCUUGUUUGGCAGACUAAAGCUUUUUUGUUAAUUCUACGUGUCACCCUAUAAAAAAAGCGGUAUGCCAUCCAGAUAAAGCCUGCUCUCUAAUCCAAAAUGCCAAUAUUAAAUUCCUGCAUACUUACUUAAUUCUACUAUAGUCCAAAUCCCAAACAAAAAGGCAAAACUUGACCUUCAAACCUUAGAGAGAUCUUAAUAUGGUUUUUCAUAUUUUUAACACUUGUGACACUUGGAGUUCUGAGACAGGUAAACCUACACAAGGUGGAGCUGCCUGCCCCCUCCAUGGACCACGCUCAAAUGCAGCAGAAGACGCCCCAUCCUGGCAUUCUUUGAGACCUUACUCCAGGGCUACUGGACUGUCCUAGCCACCAGAGAGUGGGUAAGUCAUCCUAAGUUCUAGCCCUGACAGGAAAUGUCGACACUGCCAAAUUCGUCACCGACAGAAAAUCGCUGCUGAAGACUGAGGAAGUUCAGGGCAACAACAGCCCCCUUUAAGGUGUCCGUCUCAGAUUCCAAGUCGCACUAAAGUCUCAGGGUCAUCUCAUCUUCUGUCGCCUACUCGUCUCCGUCUCACAAAGGCCUCGCAGCCACAGUUAACAGGCUAAGUCAUGUUUUGUUAUCCAUUUUGGUUCCUAAUUUCUUACAUUCUAUUAAUGAUCAUUUUUACAGCAGGACUCUUUAACAGUAUUGCCUACAGACUCCAACAUCAUGUAUACCAGAGACAAGCCUUACCAACCUACCGUCUUAACUUUUAUGCUUUCAGAUGGGGGAGUAAUCACCUCUCAUAACUCCACUCCUCCUAACCCCACAUUUAAUUUUCAGAAUUCUGCCUUACUGUGGAAAUGUUUCUACCUCAACAUGGUCCUGAUAGAAUGAUAUGUCUAAAUCAAAGGCACCUUUCCCUCUACCUCACCUGGGUCCUUAAAUAUGACAGUGCCAUGUCUCCUCAUAACAUUUUGUCUCUUUGUUUUUCCAGUCUGACAUACGUGCAUUCACCAGUGAAGUUGUCCUGGCUAAAACACCUGGCAGCAGCGUCUACCUGGGCAUCAACCUUCAUCCCGUCGACUCCCCUAGGCUCCAGUACAGCGCCCUUUGCCAGCAGGAAGUAGUUAAAGAGAGAAAUCUUCGCCCCUUUUCAUAAUAAUAACCAUAAGACGGGCUAUGAAAGGUUUUGGCCCAGGCAGGACACUGUAGCCAGGAAAGCCACAACCGGAAGCAGGAAGCCCCAUCUUGCCCUGCCCCUAGGAAGUUACCUGUGAUGCCAUCUUCCCGCCCCUGGGAAUUUACAUAUGGCACCAAACCUAGGACCAAUGGGCUACCUGUGUAUCCCUAAUGCCCGCCUUAGGUUCCACCCCAAACCGAGGCUAUUUACAGGCCCCCACGCCACGUGUCCGCCAGAGAGAUCGCCGGACACCAGCGGUGGGGUGCCGGUCAUCUCUCUCCGUGUUCUCAGAAUAAAGGCCGCUUUUUAUUUUA